UUUUUACACUCCUAUCUUAAAAACAAUGCUCUUAUAUAUUUGCAUGAUUGAUCUGUUUGAAAUUACUUUUUUUUUUUUUUUUUAACUGCGGAGGCCCUUAGUGAGCCUGCGUUAGUUUGUAGCCUAUCUCUACCACUUCAAAAAGUUUCAAAGGAAACAAUAGCCUAUAUUAGUAUAAUUUAUAGCCUUAUCUCGAGCAUGAUUAUUAAUAACGAGUGAAAACAACAGACUCAGUUUUUUUAUUCUUAUAAAACCGAGGUUAAACAAAUGGUGAAUACGGACGCUUGAAUCCACGCAGACCUCUUGCAUUUCUGUUGCGUAGCUGGAGGGAUUUACGGGGACUUAAUUCCUUAAAACUGUCCUCUCGUCCACAUGACGCUCAAACUGCAAGUGCACAAGCUGAUGUAUCCAAAUGCAUCAAGAGAUGAGUGCGUCGCAUUGCCAUGGGGCUAGAUUAAGGCCUUUUAUAAGGCAUGUAGAAUACACGUGAAACCAGUGUGGAGAAGCGCAACGAGGAGGUGAAUUGUGUACCUUUUAAAAAAUGUUAAAAACAACGUGUUGCCAAUAUCCACUUCGAGACAUGUCUAUCGGGAUUCAUCUGUGUGGGAGGAAAGCCGGCUGUAUCAUAACAGCUUAAGUCUACACAUUUUAAGAGAUCCCGAGAAGAGGAGAACCUGACAAGCGCCCGGUGACUCGAGAUACACGGACAAAUUAACAAUGAUGCAGGAAAAAAAAAAAAAACUUUUACACUUCCAGACAGGAUGGAAAGCUUCAGUUGUGCACCUGCUAUUGUGGAAUGCUCUGGAGAUGAUGACAGACAGCAUUAUUCUGGUGAUUUAAUAUUUCCCCACUUCCACCUGCCACGUACUGUUUGAAAAUCUAUAAACAAUGUCUUUCACUGCAAGCGCUUUUGGAAUUCUUUGUGUUCGAAUUAAAGUGAAU